GAGUGCUCUCACCUAAAAUGCACUUGCACUAUUACCAGCUACUGCUGCUGAGUAACACUUAAAAAUGGUAUUCUGGGACUUCCAAAGGCUUAAUCGGUGGCAUCCCUGCAAGGAACCUGAUGAGCCAGGUUGUUGUUAUAAGAUCCCUGCAAUUGUGACUAAGGGCAUUUACUCUAUUCUUAGUAAUAUCUAAACUGGCUCUUAAGAAUAGAGCAGAAACGUUCUGUCCAUACUUUGCCAUCAUCUUGCAGAGCUGGCCGGCUGAAGCUGUUGGGAUUUUAUCAGAGGCAGCAAGUGUCUCAAAGAACUAGUAAAAAAUUUUUAUUUCAACAUUUGUAUUCUAAUUUGAGGGGAAUUAUUUAUGGCUAUGCUAAUAUAACAAGUGCUAAACUGUCUUUCCCACUGUCUCAAGUAUGUUCUUCUAUUAACUAGAUUGGUUAUACUAUAGUUUUAUUACAUGUGUAUUUUUUAAAAGGAUUGUGAUCCACAAAAUUGGACACAAUUUAAUACUAACUUUCAGAUGGAAAGUAUUUAACACUUAAGAUUGAGUUUUCUGUAAUACUUUUUUAGUUAAUGUAAAUAAACUAAACAAGGUCCUGCUAAAUGCACAGUUUCCCUUGAUCAUUUGAGCCUUCCACCUAGCAACAGGUAUGGAAAGCAACUUUAAAAUAAGAUUUGAGUGUAAAACUAAUUGAUUAGGUUAGUUGGGCAGAUAACACCUGAAAGUACUAAUU
rnacentral:lncRNA from 1 species